GUAGGUGGCAAGCGUUAUCCGGAUUAUUGGGCGUAAAGCGAGCGCAGGCGGUCUGAAAGUCGAAUGUGAAAGCCCUCGGCCCAACCGAGGAAGCGCAUCGGAAACUUCGAAACUUGAAGGCAGAAGAGGCCGAUGGAACUCCAUGUGUAGCGGUGAAAUGCGUAGAUCUAGAGAAGAACACCAGUGGCGAAAGGCGAUCUUCGGUCCGCCACUGACGCUCAGGCUCGAAAGCUAGGGGAGCGACUAGGAUUAGAUACCCCGGUAGUCCAAGCCGUAAACAAUGAACACUAGGUGUUGGAGGUAUUGAGCCCGUCAGUGCCGCAGCUAACGCAUUAAGCACUCCGCCUGGGGAGUACGACCGCAAGGUU
rnacentral:rRNA from 1 species